AUUUUAGAUUAGGGUUCUCUGUCAUUAGUUGUGACUCUAGGCUGCCCUAGCAAUCCACAGUUGCUUCCUCGCCUAACAUAUAUUCUUUCCUCACAAAAGAGGAAAAACAGGUAGUUAAUAUGCAGGUAAAUCUUGGCCGCUACCUUUGAUGCCGUAAACAACAGUGGGAAGGUACCAAGAAUAUGGAAGGAUGCGAUUAUUGUUCCAAUUCAUAAAAAAGGCUCGACAGAUGACCCGGGAAAUUACAGGAAUAUCAGUUUAUUGUCAUUAAUCGGGAAAAUAUAUGCACGGUUCUUGUUAACUAAGCUUACUAAGUGGGCCGAAGAGAACAACCUGAUUGGGCCUGAACAGGCUGGUUUUAGACCGAAUCAGUCAGCGGUUGAUCAGAUCUCAGUUUUAUACCACCUUGCCCGGAAAUACUCCUCCCCAAAUAGAGGCCAACUUUGUGCGGCCUUUAUUGAUUUAAAGGCCGCUUUUGACAGCAUCCCCAGAGGAUUGCUGUGGGGAAACUAGCCCGAUGGGGAAUAGAUAAAAGACUUUUGUGGCUAAUAACUAAACUGCAUGACGGAUCGGCCGCUAGGGUGAGAAUCUCUCCGGCAGGCGACCUCUCAAACUCAGUAACUAUCAAUAGAGGUGUUCGCCAAGGAUGUAUCCUUGCUCCGACCCUUUUCAAUCUAUUUAUAAGUGAUAUGAGGGCGCCUCUGAUAGAGGCUCAAGAAACGAUCCACGCCCCCCGUCUUGCCCAAUAUCGUUGCCCCCUUCUACUCUACGCAGACGACGCAGUGAUCCUAUCCUUUUCAAGAGUCGGCCUUAGGAGGGCAUUAAAAAUUUUCGAUGUUUACUGUAAAUCAAAUUUUCUUACAAUUAACCAUGUUAAGUCCAAAGUUCUAAUUUUCACCAAGAGUAGAAAAACCUAUAAUUGGAGAAUAGACGGAAAAGCUAUUGACCAAGUCUUUAAAUUUCAGUACUUGGGAGUCUUCCUCCAACACAACAUGGGCUGGAAGGUCCAUGUUGCAUAUGUAUUAAACAGAGCUAAAGCCCUUUCCUAUGCGCUAUUGCGUUUUUCUUUUCAGAUGGGGCUUUCCAUAUUCCAUCAGUGUUAAAAGUUUUCAAGGCAAAGGUGAUUGCAACAAUAGCAUAUGCAGUCCCAUUAUGGGGGUCCUUUGCUAAUCUAACCCAGUUGGAGGUAAUCCAAAACCAGCUUUUAAGAAGGUUGUUAAAAUUACCUAGGUGUGUAAGCAAUACUGCUAUACGACUGGAACUAAAUGUUACAUCUCUAGAAACCACAUUAUGGAAAUGCAUCCUCUGUUACUGGUUGGCUUUAUGGCAUAAACUUCCAAAUCUCCACCUGAUACAAUGCCUCUGGAGAGAUGACUUCCCUAGCCCCUGGGCAAAAAUAAUACAUGGGAAACUUGUGUCCCUAGGACUAUCUCCAUCCGAACUAUUAAAAUUGGAUUUAACUUCGGCCAAAAGAAUUAUAACUCACAAAUUAGAGGAGAUGGAUUUACAAUUUAAUAUUGCGACAGGUGGAGGCACCUGUUCGCCGAUCAACCUUGGCUUAACUCCACCAACGAAACUUCCAUCUUACUUAACUACCUUAUCUGUGGUGACGCACAGGUAUGCCUUUAUAAUGGCUAGAUUCAAUGUUUUCCCAUCAAACGUGUUGGGUAACAGACUCUCCAACGGACAGAUCUCACUCCUCUGUGACUGUAAAAGCGGAUCUAUAGAAUCGUUAUAUCAUAUAAUCUUCUGUUGUCCAUUACAUUCGGCUUCACGGUCCAAGUUUCUGGCCCCAUAUUUAUCGAGAAUUGCUGACAGUCCUCAGGAAGCCCAAAUAAUAUACUUAUUAAACGACGAAGAUACAAGUAGAUCCCUUGCAAUCGCUAGAUACCUGAUUAAUGUUUUAUUUCAAAAGAGGAGAAAUGGAUCACUGUAUGUUUCUGACAGCUUAGCUAAACUUAAGAACCAUCAAUAAGUGCCAGAACUAAGACGUAUACCCCCAAAGUCUGAUGGAUCGGAAUUGCAGUUUACAUAGAGGAGCUUAUUGUGUAUAGUGUUUACUUAACUAAAGUAAAAUUGGUUUUAUAAGGGUGUUUUAACUUGGAACUGUUUAAAUUGUAUUGUUUAUGGAUAAAUUCUGAUGUAUUGUUUUUGAUAUGGGCCAAUGGCCGUAAUAAAUCUAAAUCUGAAAUCUAUGCAGGUAAACUAAGGGAACAUAUGCCCAGAUGUUAUGUAUGAAUGAAGGAGGGAAGCUGUAACACAUUAGACACAAAUUAACUUAUUGACGUAUAACCUUUGAUAGGGCACAAUGUUCUUUAAUCAGGAAGUGAUGUGACUGAGAAGAUAGCGAAGACAAUGGGUGUCACACCAAGUUAAACAGAAGUAAUGAUAACGGGAAUGAAACACAUACUUUGUUCAGGCUAAGCGUAUCACUCUGGCAAAUCAUUGUUGUAUAUCAUAGAGCCUGGAGACAAAGAUGUGGGUGUGAGCAUGGUCGUGCCUUCUCCCUUUCUGAAAACCAUUUGCCCUGAUUUUAAAAGCUGCAAAGUGUUGUCCUUCCUUUUUCAAAAAAGUAUUUCUAGCUGGUGCUGUUCUGAGGUCUGCAGUGGACAGGGCAUCCCGCCC